CCCCUAGAUGUUCUGGGCCGCACGCGCGCUACACUGAACAGUUCAACAAGUCUUAACCUUGGCCGAUAGGUCUGGGUAAUCUUUGAACGCUGUUCGUGAUUGGGAUAGACCUUUGCAAUUAUGGGUCUUCAACGAGGAAUUCCUAGUAAACGCAAGUCAUCAGCUUGCAUUGAUUACGUCCCUGCCCUUUGUACACACCGCCCGUCGCUACUACCGAUUGAAUGGUUUAGUGAGAACUCGGGACUGGCACUAAGGGGCUGGCAACAGCCUAUUAGAGCCGGGAACUUGCUCAAACUUGAUCAUUUAGAGGAAGUAAAANUCGUANCA
rnacentral:rRNA from 1 species